rnacentral:rRNA from 1 species
UACGUAGGGUGCAAGCGUUGUCCGGAAUUACUGGGCGUAAAGAGCUCGUAGGUGGUUUGUCGCAUCGUCUGUGAAAUCCCGGGGCUUAACUUCGGGCGUGCAGGCGAUACGGGCAUAACUUGAGUGCUGUAGGGGAGACUGGAAUUCCUGGUGUAGCGGUGAAAUGCGCAGAUAUCAGGAGGAACACCGAUGGCGAAGGCAGGUCUCUGGGCAGUUACUGACGCUGAGGAGCGAAAGCAUGGGUAGCGAACAGGAUUA